UUAAGCGACUAAGCGUACACGGUGGAUGCCCUGGCAGUCAGAGGCGAUGAAGGACGUGCUAAUCUGCGAUAAGCGUCGGUAAGGUGAUAUGAACCGUUAUAACCGGCGAUUUCCGAAUGGGGAAACCCAGUGUGAUUCGUCACACUAUCAUUAACUGAAUCCAUAGGUUAAUGAGGCGAACCGGGGGGAACUGAAACAUCUAAGUACCCCGAGGAAAAGAAAUCAACCGAGAUUCCCCCAGUAGCGGCGAGCGAACGGGGAGGAGCCCAGAGCCUGAAUCAGUGUGUGUGUUAGUGGAAGCGUCUGGAAAGGCGCGCGAUACAGGGUGACAGCCCCGUACACAAAAAUGCACAUGCUGUGAGCUCGAUGAGUAGGGCGGGACACGUGGUAUCCUGUCUGAAUAUGGGGGGACCAUCCUCCAAGGCUAAAUACUCCUGACUGACCGAUAGUGAACCAGUACCGUGAGGGAAAGGCGAAAAGAACCCCGGCGAGGGGAGUGAAAAAGAACCUGAAACCGUGUACGUACAAGCAGUGGGAGCACAGAGCAAUCUGUGUGACUGCGUACCUUUUGUAUAAUGGGUCAGCGACUUAUAUUCUGUAGCAAGGUUAACCGAAUAGGGGAGCCGAAGGGAAACCGAGUCUUAACUGGGCGUUAAGUUGCAGGGUAUAGACCCGAAACCCGGUGAUCUAGCCAUGGGCAGGUUGAAGGUUGGGUAACACUAACUGGAGGACCGAACCGACUAAUGUUGAAAAAUUAGCGGAUGACUUGUGGCUGGGGGUGAAAGGCCAAUCAAACCGGGAGAUAGCUGGUUCUCCCCGAAAGCUAUUUAGGUAGCGCCUCGUGAAUUCAUCUCCGGGGGUAGAGCACUGUUUCGGCAAGGGGGUCAUCCCGACUUACCAACCCGAUGCAAACUGCGAAUACCGGAGAAUGUUAUCACGGGAGACACACGGCGGGUGCUAACGUCCGUCGUGAAGAGGGAAACAACCCAGACCGCCAGCUAAGGUCCCAAAGUCAUGGUUAAGUGGGAAACGAUGUGGGAAGGCCCAGACAGCCAGGAUGUUGGCUUAGAAGCAGCCAUCAUUUAAAGAAAGCGUAAUAGCUCACUGGUCGAGUCGGCCUGCGCGGAAGAUGUAACGGGGCUAAACCAUGCACCGAAGCUGCGGCAGCGACACUGUGUGUUGUUGGGUAGGGGAGCGUUCUGUAAGCCUGUGAAGGUGUGCUGUGAGGCAUGCUGGAGGUAUCAGAAGUGCGAAUGCUGACAUAAGUAACGAUAAAGCGGGUGAAAAGCCCGCUCGCCGGAAGACCAAGGGUUCCUGUCCAACGUUAAUCGGGGCAGGGUGAGUCGACCCCUAAGGCGAGGCCGAAAGGCGUAGUCGAUGGGAAACAGGUUAAUAUUCCUGUACUUGGUGUUACUGCGAAGGGGGGACGGAGAAGGCUAUGUUGGCCGGGCGACGGUUGUCCCGGUUUAAGCGUGUAGGCUGGUUUUCCAGGCAAAUCCGGAAAAUCAAGGCUGAGGCGUGAUGACGAGGCACUACGGUGCUGAAGCAACAAAUGCCCUGCUUCCAGGAAAAGCCUCUAAGCAUCAGGUAACAUCAAAUCGUACCCCAAACCGACACAGGUGGUCAGGUAGAGAAUACCAAGGCGCUUGAGAGAACUCGGGUGAAGGAACUAGGCAAAAUGGUGCCGUAACUUCGGGAGAAGGCACGCUGAUAUGUAGGUGAAGUCCCUCGCGGAUGGAGCUGAAAUCAGUCGAAGAUACCAGCUGGCUGCAACUGUUUAUUAAAAACACAGCACUGUGCAAACACGAAAGUGGACGUAUACGGUGUGACGCCUGCCCGGUGCCGGAAGGUUAAUUGAUGGGGUCAGCGCAAGCGAAGCUCUUGAUCGAAGCCCCGGUAAACGGCGGCCGUAACUAUAACGGUCCUAAGGUAGCGAAAUUCCUUGUCGGGUAAGUUCCGACCUGCACGAAUGGCGUAAUGAUGGCCAGGCUGUCUCCACCCGAGACUCAGUGAAAUUGAACUCGCUGUGAAGAUGCAGUGUACCCGCGGCAAGACGGAAAGACCCCGUGAACCUUUACUAUAGCUUGACACUGAACAUUGAGCCUUGAUGUGUAGGAUAGGUGGGAGGCUUUGAAGUGUGGACGCCAGUCUGCAUGGAGCCGACCUUGAAAUACCACCCUUUAAUGUUUGAUGUUCUAACGUGGACCCGUGAUCCGGGUUGCGGACAGUGUCUGGUGGGUAGUUUGACUGGGGCGGUCUCCUCCUAAAGAGUAACGGAGGAGCACGAAGGUUGGCUAAUCCUGGUCGGACAUCAGGAGGUUAGUGCAAUGGCAUAAGCCAGCUUGACUGCGAGCGUGACGGCGCGAGCAGGUGCGAAAGCAGGUCAUAGUGAUCCGGUGGUUCUGAAUGGAAGGGCCAUCGCUCAACGGAUAAAAGGUACUCCGGGGAUAACAGGCUGAUACCGCCCAAGAGUUCAUAUCGACGGCGGUGUUUGGCACCUCGAUGUCGGCUCAUCACAUCCUGGGGCUGAAGUAGGUCCCAAGGGUAUGGCUGUUCGCCAUUUAAAGUGGUACGCGAGCUGGGUUUAGAACGUCGUGAGACAGUUCGGUCCCUAUCUGCCGUGGGCGCUGGAGAACUGAGGGGGGCUGCUCCUAGUACGAGAGGACCGGAGUGGACGCAUCACUGGUGUUCGGGUUGUCAUGCCAAUGGCACUGCCCGGUAGCUAAAUGCGGAAGAGAUAAGUGCUGAAAGCAUCUAAGCACGAAACUUGCCCCGAGAUGAGUUCUCCCUGACCCUUUAAGGGUCCUGAAGGAACGUUGAAGACGACGACGUUGAUAGGCCGGGUGUGUAAGCGCAGCGAUGCGUUGAGCUAACCGGUACUAAUGAACCGUGAGGCUUAACCU
rnacentral:rRNA from 1 species